UACGAAGGGACCUAGCGUAGUUCGGAAUUACUGGGCUUAAAGAGUUCGUAGGUGGUUGAAAAAGUUGGUGGUGAAAUCCCAGAGCUUAACUCUGGAACUGCCAUCAAAACUUUUCAGCUAGAGUAUGAUAGAGGAAAGCAGAAUUUCUAGUGUAGAGGUGAAAUUCGUAGAUAUUAGAAAGAAUACCGAUUGCGAAGGCAGCUUUCUGGAUCAUUACUGACACUGAGGAACGAAAGCAUGGGUAGCGAAGAGGAUUAGAUACCCUCGUAGUCCAUGCCGUAAACGAUGUGUGUUAGACGUUGGAAAUUUAUUUUCAGUGUCGCAGCGAAAGCGUUAAACACACCGCCUGGGGAGUACGACCGCAAGGUUAAAACUCAAAUGAAUUGACGGGGACCCGCACAAGUAGUGGAGCACGUGGUUUAAUUCGAAGAUACGCGCAGAACCUUACCAACACUUGACAUGUUCGUCGCGACUCUAAGAGAUUAGAGUUUUCGGUUCGGCCGGACGAAACACAGGUGCUGCAUGGCUGUCGUCAGCUCGUGUCGUGAGAUGUUGGGUUAAGUCCCGCAACGAGCGCAACCCUCACUUUUAGUUGCCACCAUUAAGUUGGGCACUCUGAAAGAACUGCCAGUGAUAAGCUGGAGGAAGGUGGGGAUGACGUCAAGUCCUCAUGGCCCUUACGUGUUGGGCUACACACGUGCUACAAUGGUAUCUACAACAGGAAGCAAGACUGCGAAGUUAAGCAAAUCCCUAAAAGAUACCUCAGUUCGGAUUGCACUCUGCAACUCGAGUGCAUGAAGCUGGAAUUACUAGUAAUCGUGGAUCAGCGUGCCACGGUGAAUGCGUUCCCGGGUCU
rnacentral:rRNA from 1 species